GCGGCCCUAGCCUAAGGGAAUCGGGGCGGUCGCCUGUCGGGCGGCUGCCUUUUUUUCGUCCGGCAGCGACAAGGCCGCGCC
rnacentral:tRNA from 1 species